UACGGGGGGGGCAAGCGUUGUUCGGAAUUACUGGGCGUAAAGGGCGUGUAGGCGGCCAACUAAGUCCGACGUGAAAUCCCCAGGCUUAACCUGGGAACUGCGUCGGAUACUGGAUGGCUUGAAUCCGGGAGAGGGAUGCAGAAUUCCAGGUGUAGCGGUGAAAUGCGUAGAUAUCUGGAGGAAUACCGGUGGCGAAGGCGGCAUCGUGGACCGGCAUUGACGCUGAAGCGCGAAAGCUAGGGGAGCAAACGGG
rnacentral:rRNA from 1 species